UGGGGAAUCUUGCACAAUGGGCGAAAGCCUGAUGCAGCAACGCCGCGUGCGGGAAGACAGCCCUAGGGUUGUAAACCGCUUUCAGCAGGGAAGAAACUGACGGUACCUGCAGAAGAAGAUGCGGCCAACUACGUGCCAGCAGCCGCGGGUGACACGUAGGCAUCAAGCGUUAUCCGGAUUUAUUGGGCGUAAAGAGCUCGUAGGCGGUUCGGUAAGUCGGGUGUGAAACUCUGGGCUCAACCCAGAGAGGCCACUCGAUACUGCUGUGACUAGAGUGCGGUAGGGGAGCGGGGAAUUCCUGGUGUAGCGGUGAAAUGCGCAGAUAUCAGGAGGAACACCAGUGGCGAAGGCGCCGCUCUGGGCCGUAACUGACGCUGAGGAGCGAAAGCAUGGGUAGCAAACAGGAUUAGAUA
rnacentral:rRNA from 1 species